rnacentral:rRNA from 1 species
AUUGAACGCUGGCGGCAGGCCUAACACAUGCAAGUCGAGCGAGCGGCGGACGGGUGAGUAAUGUCUGGGAAACUGCCUGAUGGAGGGGGAUAACUACUGGAAACGGUAGCUAAUACCGCAUACCAUCAGAUGUGCCCAGAUAGGAUUAGCUAGUAGGUGGGGUGACGGCUCACCUAGGCGACGAUCCCUCGCUGGUCUGAGAGGAUGACCAGCCACACUGGAACGGAGACACGGUCCAGACUCCUACGGACGGCAGCAGUGGGGAAUAUUGCACAAUGGGCGCAAGCCUGAUGCAGCCAUGCCGCGUGUGUGAAGAAGGCCUUCGGGUUGUAAAGCAAUUUCAGCGGGGAGGCGUUACCCUCAGAAGAAGCACCGGCUAACUCCGUGCCAGCCGCCGCGGUAAUUC